UACGGAGGGGGCUAGCGUUGUUCGGAUUUACUGGGCGUAAAGGGCGCGUAGGCGGAUGUUCGCGUCAGAGGUGAAAGCCCCGGGCUCAACCUGGGAACUGCCUUUGAAACGGGACAUCUUGAGUUCGGGAGAGGGUAGCGGAAUUCCCAGUGUAGAGGUGAAAUUCGUAGAUAUUGGGAAGAACACCGGUGGCGAAGGCGGCUACCUGGCCCGAUACUGACGCUGAGGCGCGAAAGCGUGGGGAGCAAACAGGAUUAGAUACCCGGGUAGUCCCUGAGCGGGCUGGCAAGG
rnacentral:rRNA from 1 species